rnacentral:lncRNA from 1 species
UUCCUGGAAGGCAGAAAGAAAGAGAUAAAAAGGAAAAAACAGCAUUUGUCACUUAUAGUGCUCUGGUUAGCACAGUAGCUGGGCCCCUGAACCCUCUACAGGCCUCCCAAGCUGGCACUGAAUAAAAUGUGAGAAAUGAAAGGAACUUUUCCGUGAGUCUGGCAGCGCCGACAGACACUGAGGUGGCAGAGCUGUCUGGUCCCAGUCCACAUGCAGAGGCCUGCAGCUCCUCCUUCCAGCCCGCACCCACCAGAGCUUCUCAGACGGGCCGUGUCCUGAGAAGGUUGUUGCCAAUGUAGAUGUUUGAGAGGCUCACUGAUGAACAAAUCAACAGAGCAGAUUUAAUCUGAAGAGAUCCAAAUAUUGUGCUUCUUUGGACUCAUAGAAAUGGCGAAAGAUUUAACAUCAGGAAGUACUUAAGUCAGCUAAUUUCUAGAGCCUUCUUCCUCCCUGUCACUUGAUUCUAGAUAGGAUCACCAGUUAGACAUCAGAACCAGAUCUUUUUAUCCAGAGAAGUACCAGUUUGUUGUUUUUCCUUCCGAAGCCAAGUCCUCGAGUUUCAGGUAGACUUCAGUUGAUUUCUGCGAGGUCUUUGCUUUCUCUCUGCCAGAAUAAUCACUGCUGAGGAAAGCAAAAAGCCCCGAAGAGCCUGGCUUGGAAUAAAAACAUGCACCAUACAAGAUUUUUAUGAAGAUUAAAUAACUUGGGCUAAAAUAUUCUGGAAGCUGCCAAGGGCUCUACAGAUGAGCUAUACAGAGGCAUUUGCUGAAAACUGGCCUGGAUUGACAAGCGCAAUGCAAACGUGGCUGCGGCAGUUCCAGGCAUCACAUGGUAACAAGAUCACAUCCAGUGAAGAAGGAAUUCUCAUAAGACAGUCAGCAGAUUUUGCAGGUUUUCAACUGAUUGGAUGAGGUUCACCUACAUUAUGGAGGACAGUCUGCUUUACUCAAAGUCCAUCAAUGUAAAUUCCUGCAAGGUGGAUAUCACUCUCACCUUCAGCGCACAAAGAAAGGAGGUAUACAGAAGACACAGAACUCACCAAAGUCACAGGAACUAGGUGAGGAUGAACCAGGCUGCAUCCAAGCAGCCCAGCUUCAGGGUCUGUAUUCUUUGCCACUACCCAGAACUUUUACCAAUAAGCAAAGCUAUUGUUUGCAAUAACAGGAAGCAAAAAUAGCAAAAAGUUCCCUUUAAGGGGGAGUGUUAUAAUAUACUUAACAAUCAGAAUGGCUGAAGCACUGAUCUGUGAGAGUGGCUACUGGUCAUAGCCUGGAGCUGGUCUUUUAGGUCCUCUUUGGUUACUGGAUCCUGGGAGGAUGGAUGAGGAAGUGGUCUCAGGCAAGGGGUGGAGUUAAGUGGCUGUGGAAGGUACUUUGGAGGCUCAGGCAGCAGCUUUUUUUCCCCUUAAACUUUUGUUUUAAGUUCUAGGGUACACGUGCAGGAUGUGCAGUUUACAUAGGUAAACGUGUGCCGUGGUGGUUUGCUGUACAGAACAAACCAUCACUCAGGUAUUAUUAAGCCCAGCACCCAUUAGCUAUUCUUUCUGAUGCUUUCCCUCUCCCAACUUCCACCCGACAGGCCCCAGUGUGUGUUGUUCCCCUCCCUCUGUUCUCAUUGUUCAGCUCCCACUUAUAAGU